rnacentral:tRNA from 1 species
GUUGGCGUCUGGCGUGCGUGGGUUGGUCGGGGUGCAGCUGUCCCGCAGCGCCUGGCCUGUCAUCUCUGGCAGGCGGCGGUUGAACUCCGCCGCGUCAAUGCC